ensembl:lncRNA
GGGAGGGGCACUGUAUUUCAAGUUUGGAGAGAUAUUUAACUGCAGGUACUUUGAGUAGAAGUGAAAGAGACAGAGGGAUAGGCAAAUUACAGCAACCCUCUGGAUUUCAGGAAUGAACUGGCUGAUUGAGAUUGUCUGCUUGAUUCAGACCAAGGGAGAUCCCAAGUGGACCCAAUCUCUGCCCAUCUGGGAUCGCUCACCCUGGAUAGAGACUGAUGUAGGAUAUGAUACAUUAAUCAAAAAGGAAUGACCACGACUCAUGAUCUCACAUCUUCCCAAUCAUCAUUUCUCCAAGUCUCUCUUCAGUUCCAAGACCAAGUUGUAGGUGGAUCAUGGUUUGAGCACAUCUGUGACUGGCUGUCCAUGAGAGAACGGGCAACUUCUUGGUACUGCACUAUGAAGACAUGAAAAGAUGAGCAUCCA